GAUGAAGAACGCAGCGAAAUGCGAUAAGUAGUGUGAAUUGCAGAAUUCAGUGAAUCAUCGAAUCUUUGAACGCACAUUGCGCCCUUUGGUAUUCCUUAGGGCAUGCCUGUUCGAGCGUCAUUUAAACCCUUCAAGCUCAGCUUGGUGUUGGGUGACUGUCCGCCGCCCCCGGGCGCGGACUCGCCCCAAAUUCAUUGGCGGCCGGUACGUAGGCUUCGAGCGCAGCAGAAACGCGAACUCGGGCCCGCGGUGUCGGCUCCCAGAAGCCAUCUCUUUUAUUUUGACCUCGGGUCAGGUAGGGAUACCCGCUGAACUUAAGCAUAUCAAUAAGCGGAGGA
rnacentral:misc_RNA from 1 species